rnacentral:rRNA from 1 species
UACGUAGGGGGCUAGCGUUGUCCGGAAUCAUUGGGCGUAAAGCGCGCGUAGGCGGCUCGGAAAGUCGGGCGUGAAAUGCCGGGGCUCAACCCCGGGACUGCGUCCGAUACUUCCGAGCUGGAGGUAGGUAGGGGAGAUCGGAAUUCCUGGUGUAGCGGUGAAAUGCGCAGAUAUCAGGAGGAACACCGGUGGCGAAGGCGGAUCUCUGGGCCUUACCUGACGCUGAGGCGCGAAAGCUAGGGGAGCAAACAGG